UACGGGGGUGGCAAGCGUUGUUCGGAAUUACUGGGCGUAAAGGGCGCGUAGGCGGCAUACCAAGUCAGAUGUGAAAGCCCUAGGCUUAACCUGGGAACUGCAUCUGAAACUGAAUUGCUUGAGUCCUGGAGGGGGUAGUGGAAUUCCCAGUGUAGCGGUGAAAUGCGUAGAUAUUGGGAGGAACACCUGCGGCGAAGGCGGCCACCUGGACAGUGACUGACGCUGAGGCGCGAAAGCUAGGGGAGCGAACGGG
rnacentral:rRNA from 1 species